CACCGGGUGAUUAGUGGCGAACGGGUGAGUAACACGUGAGUAACCUGCCCCCGACUCUGGGAUAAGCCCGGGAAACUGGGUCUAAUACCGGAUAUUCACUUCCUUCCGCAUGGGGGGUGGUGGAAAGAUUUAUCGGUGGGGGAUGGACUCGCGGCCUAUCAGCUUGUUGGUGGGGUAAUGGCCCACCAAGGCGACGACGGGUAGCCGGCCUGAGAGGGUGACCGGCCACACUGGGACUGAGACACGGCCCAGACUCCUACGGGAGGCAGCAGUGGGGAAUAUUGCACAAUGGGCGAAAGCCUGAUGCAGCGACGCCGCGUGAGGGAUGACGGCCUUCGGGUUGUAAACCUCUUUCAGUAGGGAAGAAGCGAAAGUGACGGUACCUGCAGAAGAAGCGCCGGCUAACUACGUGCCAGCAGCCGCGGUAAUACGUAGGGCGCAAGCGUUAUCCGGAAUUAUUGGGCGUAAAGAGCUCGUAGGCGGUUUGUCGCGUCUGCCGUGAAAGUCCGGGGCUCAACCCCGGAUCUGCGGUGGGUACGGGCAGACUAGAGUGAUGUAGGGGAGACUGGAAUUCCUGGUGUAGCGGUGAAAUGCGCAGAUAUCAGGAGGAACACCGAUGGCGAAGGCAGGUCUCUGGGCAUUAACUGACGCUGAGGAGCGAAAGCAUGGGGAGCGAACAGGAUUAGAUACCCUGGUAGUCCAUGCCGUAAACGUUGGGCACUAGAUGUGGGGGACAUUCCACGUUUUCCGC
rnacentral:rRNA from 1 species